ACCCGCUCUGCUCUCAUUAGAACCACAGUAUCCUGCAGGUCCAGACUGGUUCAGCUCAGUCUGGAUCAGUUCAGAUCGGUUCACAUCAGCAGUUCUGCUGCUGCCAGUCCUGACUGGUUCUGACAGUCAGGACCAAUCAGAACCAGGUUCUGACAGUCAGGACCAAUCAGAACCUGGUUCUGACAGUCAGGACCAAUCAGAACCAGGUUCUGACAGUCAGGACCAAUCAGAACCUGGUUCUGACAGUCAGGACCAAUCAGAACCUGGUUCUGACAGUCAGGACCAAUCAGAACCUGGUUCUGACAGUCAGGACCAAUCAGAACCAGGUCCUGACCUAAACUAAAGGUUUAAUGUUUCAGCUCCGUUGGAUUAAUGAAGGUUUUUCUGAAAAUGAGUUUAAAGUUCAGCUCAGUUUACCUGGAGUUUCUAACCUGAGCUUCAGUAAAAUGUUUUCCUCUCUUGCCCCACAGCAUGAUGCUGCCACCACCAUACUGUACAGUUAGGAUGAUACAAGCGUUUCUAAUGUAACGAUGCUGAUUCUGUCCAGACAUUUCAGUUUUAUGUUCAUCAGACCAAAACUCUGGACUACAACCAGUUUAUUCUCAGUAAUGACUUCUUCCUCUCUGAGCCAGUAACGGUGCAUUGUGGGUAACGGGGAUGUUCCCUGGCGCUGUUUUUCAGCUGCUUCCACGAUGAAUAUAGUUUUAUAAUAAUUAAAUGUGGAGCCUUCGGGACCAAUAAUGAUCCAGAAAUCUUUGCUGAUUUAUUCAUGAUGUCAUCCACCGGCGCUGUGAAUGGACCAAUCAGGAGCUUGCAGAGCUGUGACAUCAUGUUUAUAUUUGCAGAAAAUUAUAAAU